GAUGAAGAACGUAGCGAAAUGCAAUAAGUAGUGUGAAUUGCAGAAUUCAGUGAAUCAUCGAAUCUUUGAACGCACAUUGCGCCCCUUGGUAUUCCAUGGGGCAUGCCUGUUCGAGCGUCAUUUGUACCUUCAAGCUUUGCUUGGUGUUGGGUGUUUGUCUCGCCUUUGCGUGUAGACUCGCCUUAAAAUAAUUGGCAGCCGGCGUAUUGAUUUCGGAGCGCAGUACAUCUCGCGCUUUGCACUCAUAACGACAGCGUCCAAAAGUACAUUUUACACUCUUGACCUCGGAUCAGGUAGGGAUACCCGCUGAACUUAAGCAUAUCAAUAAGCAGAGGA
rnacentral:misc_RNA from 1 species